UCCCAGGUGGCUCAGUGGUAAAGAAUCCACCUGCCAGUGCAGGAGACAUAGGUUCUGAUCCCUGGGUUGGUAAGAUCCUCUGGAGAAGGAAGUGGCAACCCACUCCAGGAUUGCCUGGGAAAUCCCAUGGACAGAGGAGCUUGGCAGGCUACAGUCCAUAGGGUUGCAAAAGAGACAUGACUUAGCAGCUAAACAACAGUCAGCAAGUAUCUCUGCUUGAUUCAAGGACCCAGGCUGACCAAGACCCUACCAAAUUGCAGGCACUCCAUAUGGAACACAUACCUUCCUCAAUUAGAAAAGAAGAGAGGCUGAAAAUUAUACAUAAGCUGCUUAUUCCUUCACUCUGAAGAUCUCUUUGGCUCCCAUUUCAUUGGCCAAAACUAGUCACACAGGUUCACAAACCAUAAAGAGGCUGAGAAAUGGAGGAGGAACCAAAUGAAACAUUUGACAAAUGAAACAUUUGGUGCAUGCUAAAAUAAUUGCAGGCUGGGUUCCUGCAACCUCAUCAAGACAAGGAAGUUUGAUAAAAAUGCUGGAAAAUUUGAACAGGUCCUACUGACUAGAGUCACAAGACAAGAUUGUGCCAAUAACUCUGUGCAUGCCUGGUCACUAUGAGAAAACCCUUCCCAGGCAACUUCCCUGGGAGAUGUCCUAGGAACCCAUCUACAUCUUAUGUUUUGUCUACCCCAGAUUCUAUGACCUCAGCUAUCAUGGAAAAAGUGUAAUUUGGCACAACUCCAUAGUUCUUGACCAAAACUAAGUCUUAGGUUUUUUAAAAAGUAAUAUAAUUUUAUAAUCCCACAGCCCUACCUCUGAAAUCUAAAAAUCUCUUAAAACUGGAAUCUUAUUCAUUACCCUGUUGGCAAUAAAACCCGACCCAACUCAGACUCAUUU
ensembl:lncRNA